rnacentral:lncRNA from 1 species
CAGAAGUCAGGUCGGAUUAAGCCAUAGUACGGAAAAAACUAUGCUACCUGUGAGCCCCGUCCAAGGACGUUAAAAGAAGUCAGGCCACUACAAGUGCCAUAGCUUGAGUAAACUAUGCAGCCUGUAGCUCCACCUGAGAAGGUGUAAAAAAUCUGGGAGGCCACAAACCAUGGAAGCUGUACGCAUGGCGUAGUGGACUAGCGGUUAGAGGAGACCCCUCCCUUACAAAUCGCAGCAACAAUGGGGGCCCAAGGUGAGAUGAAGCUGUAGUCUCACUGAAAGGACUAGAGGUUAGAGGAGACCCCCCCAAAAUAAAAAACAGCAUA